rnacentral:rRNA from 1 species
GACGGAAGGUGCAAGCGUUGCUCGGAAUCACUGGGCGUAAAGGGUGCGUAGGCGGCUUUGCAAGUUAGAGGUGAAAGCCCGGGGCUCAACUCCGGAAUUGCCUUUAAAACUGCAUCGCUAGAAUUGUGGAGAGGUAAGUGGAAUUCCGAGUGUAGAGGUGAAAUUCGUAGAUAUUCGGAAGAACACCAGUGGCGAAGGCGACUUACUGGACACAUAUUGACGCUGAGGUGCGAAAGCGUGGGGAGCAAACAGG